ACAAGGCAUCGGUGGAUUUUGGUUGGCAAUCCGACAUAGUGCACGAGUACUCUGCAGGGUCCAAACAGCGGCAUGCUACCUGACAAUCCAUCUGCGUGAGAGCCAGGUUACAUGCUACCAAUGGAGGAGGACCGCCUACUCAUUUGGUGCCAGCAUCGUUUGCAUCAGAUAAAUCACAACAAAGAUAUGGUGACCCAAGACCCACGGUUAUAUAAGGAGGUGUAUGAAGAAACGACAGCAUAGAGGACCCAGCACAUCCCCUCACAGAUUCCAUGCCUUUCAAAAUAUUAGAACAAGAUUUCAAGGCAUUUUCCUUAAAGAACUUGCAACAUUUCAGGAGUGCGUCACCAUUUGGGUUUUCAUUUUGUACAAUACAUCACCUAACACCAAGAACGCUACAUUUUGUAAGCUAUGUUUCUUGCAUUGCCAGUAACCAAUAUUUAAAAGAAAAAAGAAUGUGUAUAUAUAAAUUGAUAUCUUAUUUGUCAUU